UGAGGAAUAUUGGUCAAUGGGCGGGAGCCUGAACCAGCCAAGUCGCGUGAGGGAAGACGGUCCUAUGGAUUGUAAACCUCUUUUGUCGGGAGCAAAGAGACCACGUCGUGGUCAAAAGCAGAGAGUACCCCGAAGAAAAAGCAAUCGGCUAACUCCGUGCCAGCAGCCGCGGUAAUACGGAGGAUGCGAGCGUUAUCCGGAUUUAUUGGGUUUAAAGGGUGCGUAGGCGGGACGGUAAGUCAGCGGUAAAAAUGCGGAGGCUCAAACUCCGUCGAGCCGUUGAAACUGCCGUUCUUGAGUGAGCGAGAAGUAUGCGGAAUGCGUGGUGUAGCGGUGAAAUGCAUAGAUAUCACGCAGAACUCCGAUUGCGAAGGCAGCAUACCGGCGCUCAACUGACGCUGAAGCACGAAGGCGUGGGUAUCGAACAGGAUUAGAUACC
rnacentral:rRNA from 1 species